UACGUAGGGGGCAAGCGUUGUCCGGAAUUAUUGGGCGUAAAGCGCGUGUAGGCGGCUCGAUAAGUCUGCUGUGAAAGUCCAAGGCUCAACCUUGGAAUGCCGGUGGAUACUGUCGAGCUCGAGUCCGGAAGAGGCGAGUGGAAUUCCUGGUGUAGCGGUGAAAUGCGUAGAUAUCUGGAGGAACACCGGUGGCGAAGGCGGCGUUCUGGACUGUAACUGACACUGAAAAACGAAAGCCAGGGGAGCAAACGGG
rnacentral:rRNA from 1 species